rnacentral:rRNA from 1 species
UACGUAGGGUGCGAGCGUUUAAUCGGAAUUACUGGGCGUAAAGCGUGCGCAGGCGGCGCGUUAAGACAGGUGUGAAAGCCCCGAGCUUAACUUGGGAAUUGCGCUUGUGACUGGCGAGCUGGAGUGUGGCAGAGGGAGGUGGAAUUCCGACGUGUAGCAGUGAAAAUGCGUAGAGAUCUGGAAGAACACCAAAGGCGAAGGCAAGCAUCCUGGGAAGUUCCUGACGCUCGGGUGCGAAAGCCAGGGGAGCGAACGGG